GGAGGUGAUGAUGGGAGUCCGUCGGUUCGAGCCAAUCCAACCAUCAUUGCGAAUCUUCGGACGGCCGAGCCCACCAUCAUUUGGAAAACACUCCCUCUAAAGAAAAAUGAGUCCUUACAAGAAUACCCCGUGGAAUGACGAGAAUACCCCUACUGAACAUAACCAUCAUCACAUGACGCCAUCCAUCCCCCGUCCCUUUGCCAACGCCAAGGCAAAGAGGCAAGAACAAGAAGGGCUGAAGGGGGCAGAACAGAAAGCCAGCGGCCAGGCCAUCUCACCAGCCACAGCCCAGCCCAGCCAGCCAGCCAUCAUCAUACAACAUUAAAUCCUCGCCCCUACCGGCCGCCUUCCGUGCUUACACAUGCAUGAUUGUUGUGGCAGAAGAGGCAUGUCCCCUCCUCCACCACUCCCCUCUACUCUAUAUAUAUUAUCACUCCCUCUUUGCGUCCCUCACAACUCAAACUCAUACUCCUCUCUCUCUCUUUUGCUUCCUUUUAUUCUCUUUUCCUACUACUACACUCCACUCCACUCCAGCAACUUCCACGACCAAGGAAGCCUUCUUCUUACAACCACCUCAAAAAGGUAGUUCCAAGUUUUCAUAGUCAUGGAAAGGCUGAACUCAAAGCUGUACCUGCAGAACUGCUACAUAAUCCAAGAGAAUGAGAGGCUAAGGAAGAAAGCUCAGCUUCUCAACCAGGAGAAUCAGGCUCUGUUAUCUGAGCUUAAGCAGAAGCUUGCCAAGGGAAACCCCAAACCCAACACGAACCUUAUCCCAGACCUCAACCUCAGUUCCACCUCCACCCCAAAUCCGCCUAGUUCCAGCAAAUCCUGAUGGUUUGAUAGAUACUACACCCUUUUUUUUGUGUGUUAAACCAUAGGAGUCAAAAGGAAUGGUAAAUCCAGUUUCAGUUAUAGGACAGUAGUAUCUUUUGUUCCACCAGAGUACUUUGUUACCUACCCAUGUCUCCAUCUUAUUAUAUCUUUUUCUGGUGUUGAGAUGAUGAAGUGCAGAACUAUUUAAGAUGUACCAGGGAGGCAAAAGGAAUAUAAUCAUUUUAUAGUCUUAAAAAGUUGGAGCUUCUGAUUCUCACAUUUUCUUUUCUUUCUCACUUUUUAUGUUUUAAAAAAUUAUAAACUAAGAAUCAGAAACCUGAUUAACAUGAAAAAGCUUACACUAA